AUUGAACGCUGGCGGCAUGCCUUACACAUGCAAGUCGAACGGCAGCACGGGCUUCGGCCUGGUGGCGAGUGGCGAACGGGUGAGUAAUACAUCGGAACGUGCCCUGUAGUGGGGGAUAACUAGUCGAAAGAUUAGCUAAUACCGCAUACGACCUGAGGGUGAAAGCGGGGGACCGCAAGGCCUCGCGCUACAGGAGCGGCCGAUGUCUGAUUAGCUAGUUGGUGGGGUAAGAGCCUACCAAGGCGACGAUCAGUAGCUGGUCUGAGAGGACGAUCAGCCACACUGGGACUGAGACACGGCCCAGACUCCUACGGGAGGCAGCAGUGGGGAAUUUUGGACAAUGGGGGCAACCCUGAUCCAGCAAUGCCGCGUGUGUGAAGAAGGCCUUCGGGUUGUAAAGCACUUUUGUCCGGAAAGAAAUGGCUCUGGCUAAUACCUGGGGUCGAUGACGGUACCGGAAGAAUAAGCACCGGCUAACUACGUGCCAGCCGCCGCGGUAACAC
rnacentral:rRNA from 1 species